rnacentral:lncRNA from 1 species
GUGACUAAUUGCAUUUUUAUGUAAAAAGAAUAACAAACUGUUUUAUUCCACUGUUAUUAGAUGUACACUAGCCCAAUUUCUACAACCGUCCCAUCUCAUCAAAUGGUACACAUGUCACCCAUCAAAAUAAUAUUAACAUCAACAAUCACCGUACAUAAAAAAUAAAUUAAAAUUAAAAAAGUAGGGAAAAAAUGAAAAAUAAAGUAAAAGGAAAAACACUAACAAAAGGGCAAAGAGCAUGAAAUCAAGAAUCAUGAUCAAAACAAUCAUGAUCAAAAGCAAGGUACAGCCCCAAAGAAAGUAGCAGCAACUCACUUUCUUAAGCCAAAAGGGCAGCGAAGAAAGUAGCAGCAAGAGCGGUUGCACCAACGAAAACACCGUUGGUGGAGGCGCCAGAGGGAGGAGGGACUAGGUUGGCUGAAGGCUCGGAGGCUGGAGAAGGUACACCCGAUGGGGAGGGAGGAGGGACAAGGUUAGCUGAAGGCUCGGAGGCUGGAGCAGGUACACCUGAUGGGGUAGGAGCAGGAGGGGAGAUUGAUGAAGGAGAAGGAGUUGGGGAAGUGGUGGGUGACGGGGUUGGAGCUGUUGAAGGGGCUGUAGAUGGGGUUGGAGUUGGCGUUGGUGAUGGAGAUGGAGAUGGGGUUGGGGUUGGCGUUGGCGUUGGCGUUGGCGUUGGAGAUGGGGUUGGUGUUGCUGUUGGGGAAGAUGGUGGAGUUGCAGCUGGUGUUGGUGAAGAUGUUGGUGGAGAUGUCGGUGCUUGAGCCAUGGAGGUGGCCAAAAGACCCAAUAUCAUCAGAAGCUUAAACAUUGUACAACUCAUCUUUCUCUAAUAAGAGAAAAUCUCAAAACUAUGACAAAGAAAGGAAGAGUUUUUUCUUCUUUGGGUUCUAGAGUUCGACAGAUUUUAGGAGUGAGGGAAUUGAAAAGAAAAGGGAAAAUAACAAGGGCAGAAAAAGUGGGAGAGUAAUUAAUCAAAUCAAUAAUACAAAGAGAUUCUUUUGGAUUGUUGUUCCAAAAUUAUGCCAACUGUAACACAUAUUUAUAUUGUUGUAUAUACAUAUAUGCAAAGCACAUAACAUAGCAUGAUGGGCCUAUGGCUCAGCAAUGUUUUGGAAUUUUCAUUUUGCUCUCAUUUUCUUUGAAGUUUCUUCCAUUGAAAGGUCCAAAAAUAGUGCUACGCACUAAGGGCUAUGAUUUUGACAUCUGUUAUUGAGACAU